rnacentral:rRNA from 1 species
AUACGGAGGGUGCAAGCGUUGUCCGGAUUUAUUGGGUUUAAAGGGUGUGUAGGCGGUGUAUUAAGUCAGUGGUGAAAGCCUGCGGCUCAACCGUAGAACUGCCAUUGAUACUGACACACUUGAGUAUGGACGAGGUAGGCGGAAUUUAUGGUGUAGCGGUGAAAUGCAUAGAUACCAUAAAGAACACCGAUAGCGAAGGCAGCUUACUAGGCCAUAUCUGACGCUGAGGCACGAAAGCGUGGGGAGCGAACAGGAUUAGAUACCCUAGUAGUCC